UUACGGCCAUGUCACCUUGAAACACUGGUUCUUGUACGAUUACCGAAGUUAAGCAAUGUCGAGUCUGAUCAGUAUUUUGUUGGAUGACCGCUUGGGAAUACCAGGUGCUGUAAG